rnacentral:rRNA from 1 species
UCACGUUAAGUCAAUGUCACCUGUACCCGAAACCGACACAGGUAGGGAGGUUGAGAAUACCAAGGGGCGCGAGAUAACUCUCUCUAAGGAACUCGGCAAAAUGGCCCCGUAACUUCGGGAGAAGGGGUGCCACCUAAGACGUGGGUCGCAGUGAAGAGAUCCAGGCGACUGUUUACCAAAAACACAGGUCUCCGCUAAGUCAAAUGACGACGUAUGGGGGCUGACGCCUGCCCAGUGCCGGAAGGUUAAGGAAGUUGGUCAGGGAGCAAUCCUAAAGCUGACGACUGAAGCCCCGGUGAACGGCGGCCGUAACUAUAACGGUCCUAAGGUAGCGAAAUUCCUUGUCGGGUAAGUUCCGACCCGCACGAAAGGCGUAACGAUCUGGAUGGCGUCUCAGAGAGAGACUCGGCGAAAUAGGAAUGUCUGUGAAGAUACGGACUGCCUGCACCUGGACAGAAAGACUCUAUGAAGCUUUACUGUAGCCUGUAAUUGAAUCCGGGCUGAGCUUGCGCAGGAUAGGUGGGAGGCGUUGAUAUUGCCCUCGUGGGGGCAAAGGAGCCAACGGUGAGAUACCACUCUGGCGCAGCUAGGAUUCUAACUUGGAGCCGUUAGCCGGCACAAGAACCGUUGCAGGUGGGCAGUUUGACUGGGGCGGUCGCCUCCUAAAUGGUAACGGAGGCGCGCAAAGGUUCCCUCAGCACGCUUGGAAACCGUGCAUAGAGUGUAAAGGCAAAAGGGAGCUUGACUGCAAGAGUCACAACUCAAGCAGGGACGAAAGUCGGCCUUAGUGAUCCGACGGCACUGAGUGGAAGGGCCGUCGCUCAACGGAUAUAAGUUACUCUAGGGAUAACAGGCUGAUCUCCCCCAAGAGUUCACAUCGACGGGGAGGUUUGGCACCUCGAUGUCGGCUCAUCGCAACCUGGGGCGGAAGUACGUCCCAAGGGUUGGGCUGUUCGCCCAUUAAAGCGGUACGUGAGCUGGGUUCAGAACGUCGUGAGACAGUUCGGUCCAUAUCCGGUGCAGGCGUAAGAGCAUUGAGAGGAGCCCUCCUUAGUACGAGAGGACCGGGAGGGACGCACCGCUGGUGUACCAGUUAUCGUGCCAACGGUAAACGCUGGGUAGCCAAGUGCGGCGCGGAUAACCACUGAAAGCAUCUAAGUGGGAAGCCCACCUCAAGAUGAGUGCUCUCAUGGAAUAAUCCAGUAAGGUCACAGGAAGAUUACCUGUUAAUAGGCGCAAGGUGGAAGUUCAGCAAUGAAUGUAGCCGAAGCGUACUAAUAGACC